GAGAAGCAAAGCCGCGAGGUAGAGCAAAUCUCAAAAAAACAAUCUCAGUUCAGACUGCAGGCUGCAACUCGCCUGCACGAAGUCGGAAUUGCUAGUAAUCGUAGGUCAGCAUACUACGGUGAAUACGUUCCCGGGCCUUGUACACACCGCCCGUCAAACCAUGAGAGUUGGCAACACCCGAAGUCGGUAGUCUAACCGCAAGGAGGACGCCGCCGAAGGUGGGGUUGAUGAUUAGGGUUAAGUCGUAACAAGGUACC
rnacentral:rRNA from 1 species